UGUGUGGCAGUUGCGGGUUGAGUGGCGUAUUUCUGUUAAUAUAAACAGGCGUUUUUGGUGGUUCUUUGCCACCAUACAGAAUGAAAAAACCAAGAGACAGGCUAAAACGAACAGGUGUCUACACUAUACCUGUCACCAACUAUCGCAAUAACCAGUCGAUAUCCUACAUAGGAGUCACUACAAGGACACUCGGGCAGCUCUUAGAAGAACACAAAAAAGACAUAGAGAAAGCUAAAUUGACAACUGCCCUAUCCAUUAAGGCUUACGAAGGUGAUAUAGAUAUACACUGGCAAGAAGUCAGAGUAU
rnacentral:lncRNA from 1 species